CAUCAUUCUCUGUUUUUGCAGCCUGUCACCCCGCGGAAGUUAGUCGGUGGAGUGAGGAAGAAGAUGUUAAUGUGUGUGGUUAAUUUGCAUGAGGUGUGAAACGUCUCUGUUGUUUCUGCCGGACUGUUUGACAUUUUGUUGCAUAAACAAAGGAACGGAAAAUGUUGGAGUGCGGCAUGCUGGAGCGAGACAAAAAGGCUCUCCGGAGAAACUCUGCUGUUCUGUGCAAACAGCUCGUCGUGGAUGAGCUGCUCAUCCAAUCACUGCAAGCUGAUGGCAUCCUUACCGAGAACAUGGCAGAAACCAUCAUGGCAGAGCAAACAUCUCAGAAACGUAGCUGGCGUUUGUUAAUUCUCCUACCAAAACGAGGACCUGAAGCCUUCCAGAGCUUCUGCUCGGCUCUGAAGGAGACUGAGCAGCAGCACCUCUAUGACUUGAUAGCACAAUCCCCCGAGAGGAGCAGCAGAGAGACACACGUGGAUUGUAUUCAGGCUGAGAAAGUGCCAGAAGAAAAGUCACGACGACCGGAGAAGACACGAAACUACGGAGAGAGGACUUUGAGGAGUUCUCCCCCAUUUCCAACUCAGGAGGAAUACGCUGCAAAGAGAGCAAGGACACACGCAGAGUCCAUGGAGUUCAGCCUCGACGCCGACAGUCCCAUCAACACUCCUGUUCUCCCGUGCGGCCCUGACUUUUACCUGUCUCACUGCAAGCAGUCCUACAGAAUGAACUCCUCACCGCGAGGCUUUGGCUUAGUCAUCAGUAACGUGAGCUUUGACUCCUGCUCUGCUCCUGGUCUUGACCCAAGAAAAGGAGGUGAAGUGGACGAUGAAGUUCUCAGGAAGGUUUUCACAGAGCUGGAUUACCACGUCAGUGUCCACAGAGACCUCACUGCUCAGGGGAUGAGGACGUGCAUUGAGAACUUCUGCAGGCGGUCCGAACACAGGACAGUGGACAGCUGUGUGGUGUGUUUGCUCUCCCACGGAGUGGAAGGAGCAAUUUAUGGCACAGAUGGACAACUUAUCCAGCUGGACUGGGUGUUUGAGGCCUUUGACAACGCACACUGUCCUCUGCUUCAAAACAAGCCAAAGAUGUUUUUCAUUCAGGCCUGCAGAGGAGAUGAGAUGGACUGUGGAGUUGAGCAGCUGGACGGGCCAGGGAGGACGUCUUCACCGAGCUGCGAGCAGCGGGACGCAGGGAGGGAGGCAGAGGGGGACGCAGACCCCAGACAGAGGCGGGACGUGGGGAGGCCCAGGAUUAAACUACCUCAGCGCUCAGACAUGAUCUGUGGCUUUGCGUCUCUCAAAGGUCAGAGAAUUUGUAAGUUUAUCUUGUUUGUCUUACAUUUACAUUUAUUUAUUCAUGGAAAAGUAAAAAAAAAGUGACUUCUUAAUUUGUGAAAUAAAGAAUUCGAAUUAGGGCAGCAGAGUUCUGUUUCUGUCAUUUUAUACAUUAAUUAUUGAACGUUUGUGUGAAUAAUAAAACCUCAAAAUCUAAAAACACUAAAACCAUUGAACCUUAACUGGACAGAACUAUAUGAUACUAAAUAUAUUAAUUGAAUUGUUUUUAUUAGUUCUGAAAUGUCAACAUUUACACUACCUUGAAAAAUAAUUGUUAUCCCUUAAGUCUCUAUAUUUUGACAAAUUACGACCACAAACUUCACUGUUAUUUAUUGAGAUUUUAUGUGACUGAAUUUUGUCUUUGUUUUGCCGUUUCAGUGUUUGAGUGUUUUUUCGUUUUGUUUUGUUUUUUUCAGAAUAAAAUCCUAAACAGGUGUAAAGUUACCUUUUUAAUAACAGGUUAAGCAUUGCUUCUGAACUGAAUGACUUGGGUCAAACGUUUUGGGUUUCUUUCCACAAGCUUCCAGCAGUAGUUUGCUGCCGUUUUGACCUGUUCUCCUGACAGAACUGGUGGAACUGGGUGAGAUUUGUAGCCUCACACAUUUUCAGAUCUGACCACAACUUCCCCAUCAGGCUGAGGUCAGGACUUUGUGAUGGCCAUGCCAAAACAUAGAUUUUCUUAUCCUUAAGCCACUUUGGCUUAAGGAUAUUCAUUUUGUUAUUGUCCAUCUUCAAGACCAAUCUUCACCUGAGCUUUGUCUUCCUGGCUGAUGUUUCUUCAAUAUUUCCACAUAAUGCUGUUUCCUCUUUAUUCCAUUUACUUUUGGAAGAGGACCAGUUCCUCCUGCAGCAAAACAGCCCCACAAUAUGAAGCUGCCACCUGCAUGUUUCACAGUUAGGGUGGUACAACUGUCCCUGUUUUCCAAAUGAUGGUCAUUAUGGCCAAACGAAUCCUCUCUAGUUUCAUCAGACCACCAGUCAUGUCCAAAGUUGAAGAUCAUUGUCCCUGUGUGCAUUUGAAAACUGCAAUUUGACUUUUUUAUGUUUCGUUUGGAGUAAUGGCUUCCCUUUCAGCCCAUGUCAGUGCAGGACAGAUUUCACUCUGGAUAAUAACACUGUCUUCCCAGCUGCAGGAAACUUCUUCAUAAGGUCUAUGGCUUUUAUUCUGGGUUCAGUUUGCACAUUUCAAAAUAAAACAAGUUAAUCUCUCGGACUCAGAACUCGUCUCUUUCUGUCUGACUUAAGUCUACACAGUGGGAAAAAAGGUGUAUAUAUCUUUUGAUUUGGUUUUAAUUUCUGCUGCUGAUGAUUUUAGUUAAAAGCACCAGAUCACAUUUUCCAUAAUAUUCAUUCUUGUGACUUUUAUUUGUGUAGUAAAUCUCUGUUGUUUGAUGUCUUUUAA